UCCGUAGGCGGGCUAAUAAGUCAGGGGUGAAAUCCCACAGCUUAACUGUGGAACUGCCUUUGAUACUGUUAGUCUUGAGUUGUAUGGAAGUAGAUAGAAUGUGUAGUGUAGCGGUGAAAUGCAUAGAUAUUACACAGAAUACCGAUUGCGAAGGCAGUCUACUACGUAUAUACUGACGCUAAUGGACGAAAGCGUGGGGAGCGAACAGGAUUAGAUACCCUGGUAGUCC
rnacentral:rRNA from 1 species